rnacentral:sRNA from 1 species
AGAAAGUUUUUCUGCGUGGCCCGUACGUGGUCCAUGCGGCUCCCUGAGCAAAACAAUUGAUAUCUAUCUACCUUUUCAUUUCAACCUUACCUUGCCACGCGACUCACUUCCCUUGCCAUAAGACAAAAAUAUGAGCAUUUCCCCAGCUGAUUGAUUCAGAUACGACUCAUGUUCAGUUUCGCCCAUAGUUGCAUAUCAAGUUGUUCACCAUUCCUGGCGUUGUACCCGUGGAGACUGCAGAAACCAUGAAAUGCGGCAUGUUUUGAGGCAUAUAGCACUGGGCAAAGGAUCUUAUAGGUGCGAAGUUCACGGGCCAUGGCAUCUGCGUUGAUUCGAUGUUAUUGGACGAGGAGUCACCUCAUAUAAAAACUACUUCGCUUCGUACCCAGCUCACUUGACUCUAGAUUCCGACGAGAAAGCUUGUGAGGAGAUAAUUUCAAGGUAAUGGAACGAUUGCCCUUGACCGACACAGCCGUCGCGGUCAUUCCGUGGAUUCAGCACUGUAAAAUAUUUUGCAAAGAAGAGCGGGCAGCCCGAUCAUCCCUUUACAUUAUGUGCGUCUCCCGCCCCAGCCCUUGGUUCUAGAAUUGAUUUUCUUAGUGCUGGAACAAGUUUUGUAACAUGUAUAUCUACUUUAAAAACCUGCGUUCGUGUUGGGCAAUUCGCAUGUGUCAGUGACUGAGUGGAAAUCGAUUGCCAAUGAACUUACAAAAUUCGUCGACAUUAAUUGAUUUUGAGGCAGCCUUGAAUGGAAUGGAGAAUAGAGC